rnacentral:rRNA from 1 species
AUUGAACGCUGGCGGCAGGCCUAACACAUGCAAGUCGAACGAGUGGCGGACGGGUGAGUAAUGUCUGGGAAACUGCCUGAUGGAGGGGGAUAACUACUGGAAACGGUAGCUAAUACCGCAUACCAUCGGAUGUGCCCAUAUGGGAUUAGCUAGUAGGUGGGGUAAAGGCUCACCUAGGCGACGAUCUCUAGCUGGUCUGAGAGGAUGAUCAGCCACACUGGAACUGAGACACGGUCCAGACUCCUACGGGAGGCAGCAGUGGGGAAUAGUGCACAAUGGGCGCAAGCCUGAUGCAGCCAUGCCGCGUGUAUGAAGAAGGCCUUCGGGUUGUAAAGGACUUUCAGCGGGGAGGCGUUACCCGCAGAAGAAGCACCGGCUAACUCCGUGCCAGCAGCCGCGGUAAUAC